rnacentral:rRNA from 1 species
AGAGUUUGAUCAUGGCUCAGGAUGAACGUUAGCUACAGGCUUAACACAUGCAAGUCGAGGGGAGACGACAUCGAAAGCUUGCUUUUGAUGGGCGUCGACCGGCGCACGGGUGAGUAACGCGUAUCCAACCUGCCCACCACUUGGGGAUAACCUUGCGAAAGUAAGACUAAUACCCAAUGAUAUCUCUAGAAGACAUCUGAAAGAGAUUAAAGAUUUAUCGGUGAUGGAGUGGGGAUGCGUCUGAUUAGCUUGUUGGCGGGGUAACGGCCCACCAAGGCAACGAUCAGGUAGGGGUUCUGAGAGGAACGGCCCCCCACAUUGGAACUGAGACACGGUCCAAACUCCUACGGGAGGCAGCA